GGGAUGCUUGGCAAUUCUAAUUCUACGCCAGACUGCAAAUGGACACAAAACUGUUGCGACUUUUGUUGAAGAGGAGAAGGAUGGUGAAGGUCUCUUUAGUAAAUAAUCUCUGCUGAAAUUGCUUCGGGCAGCACAGAAGCUGGAUUCAGAAGCACACAGGUCUGGGGAUGCAGGCUUCGGCCACCCUGAUGCGAGGAAAGACUGCCAUCUCGUGGUCAGCUCGAUCCUGGCACCUUGGCUGUUUCCCAUAUAAGGUUCAUGACCCCCAGGGAGGAUGAAACUGCCUGCCAGGUUUGUCUUCUCUCCUGUUCACUGGUUACUCAGCCAGGCGGAUUCACGGGCUUCUCAAAGGAACUUGUUUAUCAGAAGCUUGUCUAAGACACUACGUCUUCCAGAAAAUCUCACCUGAGUCACCAACAGAUUCCUCUAAGAAUCUGUAAGCCGCUCCCGACCAGCAGGAAACCCCAACAGAGGCAAAGAAUAGCAAAGUGAAUAUUUUGUCAAGAAAAAAUGAGAGACUGGGCGCGGUGGCUCAUGCCUAUAAUCCCAGCACUUUGGGAGGCCUAAGUGGGCUGAUCAUUUGAGGUCAGGAGUUUGAGACAACCUGGUCAACAGGGUGAAACCCUGUCUCUACUAAAAAUACAAAAACAAUUAGCUGGGCGUAGUGGUGGGUGCCUGUAGUCCCAGCUACUGGGGGAGGCUGUGGCAGGAGAAUCGCUGAAACCCGGAAGACGGAAGUUGCAGUGAGCUGAGACCGCACCACUGCACUCCAGCCUGGGUGACGGAGUGAGACUGUCUCAGAAAAAAAUAAACACACAAAAAAGCAAGAAAGCGCCCCAUUUAGAUCACUCAGACAAAAGAUUUUAUUUGUGCCAAAAUGUUCCACAAGGCUUCCAGUUUUCACCACAUAACUUGACAGUCAUGCAAGACUUAAGUAUAUUUUCAGCUAUCCUUUCUCUUUCAUUUAUUUCUGUUUAAUAAGCUCUCAGUCCGUUGAUUCUAGUUAGUACAUUAUGUAUCUUUUUAAUCACUUACCUUCAGUGAGCAUCUUUCCAUGUUGGUAAACACCAGUGCUACUACUAUUACUAUAUGACACUUACUGAGUACUUAACUCUACGUCAAAUCCUCUGCCAAGCAUUUUCAAGCAUUGUCUCAUUGCCUUCUUGCCACAACCCUAUGAAGAUGCCGUGAUUGUCCUCAUCCAAUGGAGGAGGAAGCUGAGGCUGAGAGCAAUUAACACAGCUGUGAGUGAACAGGUAGGAUUUAAAGCCAGGCAGUAUGAUUCUGGAGCCUACGCUUUUAAUCACUGUUAUUUUACUCUCCUCCAUUCCCCAAAUAUACUGCAUUCUUUUUCUGUGAUUGUAUUGUAUUAUUCUGUUUUAGAUGUACUAUGAUUGAUUUCACCAAUGCUGUGAUUACACUUCAGUUGGUUUUAGUUUUCACUACUACAAACAGUGUUGCAACGAAUGUCUCUGUGGGCAAAUCUUUACAGGUCACGAAUGACCCUUUCCUUAGGACACAUAUUGCCAACCUGAUCUCCAGAAAGGUAGUACAUGCCCAUCAUAUUGUACGAAAGUACCCUUUGCCCUCCACCCUUGACACUGGGUUGCGUCCCUUUUUAAAGUAUUGCUGUUACGAUAGAAGAAAAAGGCUGUCACAUUGUUAUUUCAGUUUGUAAGCUAGAACACUUCAUUGCACAUUAGCUGUAUUCCUCAGGUGUAUUUCCUGUUCAUGUCCUUUGCCCUCUGAGGUUUGUCUCUUUAUCACAGAUUUGAGAAUUUUUUGUAUAUGUCUUAUAUUUUUAGAAUUAAUAAAUUUAGGGCAUAAAUCUAAUAGAAAG
ensembl:lncRNA